UUUUUUGUCUUGGUGUUUGUUACAAUAAAAGAAUUAAAAAAAAAUCUGUUCUUAUCAGUUUAAUAUCUGAUACGUCCCCUAUCUGGGGACCAUAUAUUAAAUGGAUUUUUGGAACAGGGAGAUGGAAGAAGAGCUUGCUCUGUCCACUCCACGCAUCGACCUGGUAUUGCAGUACCUCCAGGACCGGUGCACUUCUC
rnacentral:snRNA from 1 species